GAUGAACGCUGGCGGCGUGCCUAGUACAUGCAAGUCGAGCGAACAGACGAGGAGCUUGCUCCUCUGACGUUAGCGGCGGACGGGUGAGUAACACGUGGAUAACCUACCUAUAAGACUGGGAUAACUUCGGGAAACCGGAGCUAAUACCGGAUAAUAUAUUGAACCGCAUGGUUCAAUAGUGAAAGACGGUUUUGCUGUCACUUAUAGAUGGAUCCGCGCCGCAUUAGCUAGUUGGUAAGGUAACGGCUUACCAAGGCAACGAUGCGUAGCCGACCUGAGAGGGUGAUCGGCCACACUGGAACUGAGACACGGUCCAGACUCCUACGGGAGGCAGCAGUAGGGAAUCUUCCGCAAUGGGCGAAAGCCUGACGGAGCAACGCCGCGUGAGUGAUGAAGGCCUUCGGAUCGUAAAACUCUGUUAUUAGGGAAGAACAAAUGUGUAAGUAACUAUGCACGUCUUGACGGUACCUAAUCAGAAAGCCACGGCUAACUACGUG
rnacentral:rRNA from 1 species